GAUCCAGUGAGGAAGCAUACCCAAUUGAUAGGAAGUGCCGUAUGACACUCUAAACAGCGGCGGCUACACAUAACGAGCCGCCCUACGUUCCCAUCCACCGGUGAGUAUUUGUUACUCGUCGGUCGGGAACAGGGGCGGCUCAGGUGUGCCUUCGUUGUGUGUGAUUUGGAACGGGAUUCUGAGGGUC